CGGCCGCGUCGACGACCAUUCCACGGUUUCCGCGCCGCAGCUAACGCAUUAAGUGCCCCGCCUGGGGAGUACGGCCGCAAGGCUAAAACUCAAAGGAAUUGACGGGGGCCCGCACAAGCGGCGGAGCAUGCGGAUUAAUUCGAUGCAACGCGAAGAACCUUACCAAGGCUUGACAUGUUCUCGAUCGCCGUAGAGAUACGGUUUCCCCUUUGGGGCGGGUUCACAGGUGGUGCAUGGUUGUCGUCAGCUCGUGUCGUGGGAUGUUGGGUUAAGUCCCGCAACGAGCGCAACCCUCGUUCCAUGUUGCCAGCACGUCGUGUCGACGCGGCCG
rnacentral:rRNA from 1 species